UCUAGAAAACUUUUCCCCAAUCUCUAAAGGUUUGUGACUCCAUCCCACCUCUAUAGUGACCCUCUUCUUCCACUUUUAUAGUAGCCAUCUCCCUCUCUUUUGAGAGCACUAUUUCCCCAUCCAUCUUUGUUCCCAUGUCCCCACUAUAUCAAAGCAUAUCACUGGAUAUUCCCUCUCUCCACCACUAUCAACCUCCAAGCUUCCUUUUCUGUUUUCACGGCCGCUACUAGAGCCAUCAUCACCACCAAGAAAUGACAAGCUUGUUAUGGGUUUUAUGCACAAAUCAAACACAACAAUAGUGAAGGCACCUAUCUCCCAUGCAACUGCUCCUACACUUUCAUUGUCAGCAAUCUUGUUUAUGUGUGUCUAUUUGAAUUUCAUAGCGAGUGAGAAAGCUUAUGAGCCCAACAUCCAUUUCAACACUAUCUCUAGUCAUCUGUUAAUUUGUGAACACUCAAGAGGGUUGAACAAUAAUGAGACCAAAGAAAGUCGAAAUGUCAAAGAAAUCAUCAGUAAUUGGAUCUGGAAAAAGGCGGUGGAGUUUUACUCCCACAUUGUCAUUGAUGUUGUUUGCAAGAGAGUACAUUGUUAGAUGAAAUAUUGUUGUUUUUGGUUUGGUUGUGCCUUAGCUUGUGAACAAUCUAUAUGUGAUGUAUAUUAUGACUAUG
rnacentral:lncRNA from 1 species